rnacentral:lncRNA from 1 species
CUUAAUCUCUCUAUAAUGAUAAAUUAGAAUCAAUACUUUCCAAAUUAAUCUGUAUUUAUUUCUAAGUCAGUUUUUCCCAAGUUAUAUCUAAAAUUUCAGAGCCUGUUUUAUUUUAAAAUUAGGUUAUGAUUUGAAGUUUCUUAUCUACAUUGAAGUUCAUCUUCCAUUUUCCAUACCACAGUCAAUACCAAGAAUCCCCUGGAGUUUAUCAUUAUCAGCUUGUUAUUUCACUAGCUGGAAGAAUAUAUUGCUGCUUUAAACAUUCCUUUUUACUAUUUACUCCCAAGCCUUUAAAUUAAAAAUUUAAUAAUAAUGCAGUGAUUCAACCAUCAAGUUAUUUAGACUAAAAGAAUCCAAGGAAUACUCUGAUAAGAAUACAAGUCUGGGGAUGCAAAUUAUUUUUAUAGAUAAAAGUGGUUGUCUUUUUAUCAGUAAGUAGCUAAAGUCAAAUAGAAGUACUGUGAUCUAGCAUUGUAACAAAUAUUUGUAUUUGACCUUGUAUCCUAGCUUACAUGUACAGUUAUGAGUACAAAGAUAUCAUUACUAGAUAAUUGUCAAGUAAACAGGAAUGUGGCUAUCUGACCAAACUUCUUUUAGAGUCAUGAAGUAUAUUCAGUGGAAAAUGUGAUCAAGCUCCUACCUUGUGAUCAAUGGAGAGAAAGGAUCCUUCACUGUGACAUAAAAGGACUGGAAGUAAUGGUGGCUUUUCCAUUAACAAAUUCUAUGAUCUUGCUUAAUUGUCUUUCUCUGAUGAUUAAUUUCUGCAGGGGGUAAAAAUAAGAAUAAAAAUUCCUAUUAAUGUAUAAGAUUAUAAAAAUUAAAUGAAAUAAUGAUAAUAUAUGUAAAAGUUCUUUUUGAGAAAUGGUGCCAAUUUGGGAUAAUAAAAUAACGAGUGUCAUAAAAAACUAUCUAAUGAAACAAUAUCUAGGAGAGUUUUUUUAA